AGUCGACGGUAACAGGACUUCGGUCGCUGACGAGUGGCGCACGGGUGAGUAACGCGUGGGUUACCUGCCCAUAAGUGGGGAACAACUUGGAGAAAUCCAAGCUAAUACCGCAUAAUACCUUCGGGUUAAAGAGGGGGAUCUUCGGACCUCUCGCUUAUGGAUGGUCCCGCGUCUGAUUAGCUAGUUGGUAGGGUAAUGGCCUACCAAGGCAAUGAUCAGUAGCUGGUCUGAGAGGAUGAUCAGUCACACUGGAACUGAGACACGGUCCAGACUCCUACGGGAGGCAACAGUGGGGAAUUUUGCACAAUGGGCGAAAGCCUGAUGCAGCGACGCCGCGUGCGGGAAGAAGGCCUUCGGGUUGUAAACCGCUUUCAACAGGGAAGAAGGAAUGACAGCUAAUACCUCUCUGGCUUGACGGUACCUGUAAAAGAAGCACCGGCUAAUUUCGUGCCAGCAGCCGCGGUAAUACGAAAGGUGCAAGCGUUGUUCGGAUUUACUGGGCGAAAUGAGAUCGUAGGUG
rnacentral:rRNA from 1 species